rnacentral:rRNA from 1 species
UACGUAGGGGGCGAGCGUUGUCCGGAGUUACUGGGCGUAAAGCGCUUGUAGGCGGUCCACCAAGUUUGGGGUGACAGUUGCCGACUUAAUCGGCAAAGUGCCUCAAAGACUGGCGGACUUGAGGGCCACAGAGGGACAUGGAACUCCAGGUGUAGUGGUGAAGUGCGUAGAUAUCUGGAAGAACACCAGUGGCGAAGGCGACUUACUGGACACAUAUUGACGCUGAGGUGCGAAAGCGUGGGGAGCAAACAGG